rnacentral:rRNA from 1 species
UAAGGAAUAUUGCUCAAUGGGAGAAAUCCUGAAGCAGCAACGCCGCGUGGAGGAUGAAGGGUUUUUAACUUGUAAACUCCUGUAAAGAAGGAAAAAAUUCCCAUUAGAUGGGAAAUGAUGGUACUUCUGGAGUAAGCCCCGGCUAACUACGUGCCAGCAGCCGCGGUAAUACGUAGGGGGCAAGCGUUGUCCGGAUUUACUGGGUGUAAAGGGUGCUCAGGCGGAUUUGUGAGUCAGAGGUGAAAUCUCACAGCUUAACUGUGAAACUGCCUUUGAUACUGCAAGCCUAGAGUAUGGAAGAGAGUGAUGGAAUAUCUGGUGUAGCAGUGAAAUGCGUAGAUAUCAGAUAGAACACCAAUGGCGAAGGCAGUCACUUGGUCCAUAACUGACGCUAAAGCACAAAAAGCGUGGGUAGCAAACAGGAUUAGAUACCCUGGUAGUCCACGCCCUAAACGAUGAAUACUAGAUGUUGGCUUCGCAUGAAGUCAGUAUCUGAGCUAACGCAUUAAGUAUUCCACCUGGGAAGUACGAUCGCAAGGUUGAAACUCAAAGGAAUUGACGGGGUCAUAGCUGUUUCCUG